UACGUAUGGGGCUAGCGUUGUCCGGAAUCAUUGGGCGUAAAGCGCGUGUAGGCGGUCCGGUAAGUCCGCUGUGAAAGUCGGGGGCUCAACCCUCGGAUGCCGGUGGAUACUGUCGGGCUUGAGUACGGAAGAGGCGAGUGGAAUUCCUGGUGUAGCGGUGAAAUGCGCAGAUAUCAGGAGGAACACCAAGUGCGAAGGCAGCGCGCUGGGACGUUACUGACGCUGAGACGCGAAAGCGUGGGGAGCAAACAGG
rnacentral:rRNA from 1 species